GCCCUUGCGCUAAGUUACAGCCUCUGGAUGUUUGGGCCAAUCCAAUGCUCCUGGGGUUUUCAUGCUGACAGGUGCUUCGGUUGUCUUCCCUCCUUUCUCUCAUUUUAUCUCUGCCAAAAUGCUUCAUCCGCCGUCCUCCUCCGCCCUCUGAGAUUACGACUUGCCGCGACCACUUUUAGACUUCGUUUCUCCAUACCUUGGAAGCUAAGCAUUCCUUCUUGUUCUUCUUUUAUCUUUUCGAUUUCGGUUCAAAAUAGUUUAGGGAAUCCGUAUGUUUUCUUCAAUUUUUGACUUAGAUUGAUUGAUCUCAUACUAAACAUGUGAGUUCAAUCAAUUGAAGUCUAACAAAAAGGAAAAAAAACCGAUCAGAUGGUAUGUUAACUCAAGACACUUUUUUUGUAAGAUUAAUUGACGGAACUCGAAGCCUUGAAAGUUACCUUAAAUUGUGAACGGCUAGGGACGCAAGAUGUGGCAAAUAAACUUCUUGUUUAUGACAUUCCUUAGACAGCCAGAUAUGCAUUUCUUAUAUGCCACGUUUCCAUUAAAACUUGGUGUGUUCAGACAAUAUAACCUAGCCAUCAUAGAAAUCCUGCAACAAUAGUUGACAGGGAAUAUAGAGUUUCUCUUAAAUCUAUACCCAAUUCAAGUACAUAUGCAUCUUUAAUAUUAUAAAUGUCUAUUAUGGAUUAGGAUAACACUUCAAUCUGAUUUGUACUUCUAGAAAACCUCUUUUCUCCAGAUCUGUGUAUAUUGUGGGGAAAAACAAUUCAUUGUUUCAGCAUAUCAACAACGAAGACUUUUUUAAUUUGAAUAUUACCCUUUUUUAUAGUUGUACUUGAUAUCUAUCAUUUAAGGAUCAUGACUAAAAUUCAACAUAAGCAAGAAAUUAAUAACAGUGUGCAAUAUCCCACUGCAUUAUGUUCAAUUCGAAACCCAAGCUGUAGAAAUAGCAGUUCAGAUUGUGAUUAUAGUAAAUGAUGCCUCAAAGAUAUUGGUGUCAAGAAAGAGCCCAACUGCAGGGAAGAAGAGAGUAAAGAGGGGAAGGACCAAAGAGUAUAUCUGUUAUUCACUUAACAAAUAAAGUGUAAUGGUAACUUAAUGUAAAGAUGCAUAUUUGUGCUUGUUUUUUUUUCAUUGAUUUUUCAGUUUGGAAUAUUCUAUUGUAAUAUGACAAUUCUCACCUAAUUAGACGAUUUGUUUAGGUAUUUCUAUCUCUCUUUAUAAUCUUCUUCCCAAAUCCCUUCCUGCCCUAGUUCUUUUGUCAUGUUCUGUUACUGCAAUAUGACUAUAUUGGUUGAACUACAGAUUUUUCAUGUAGGAAAUUUUUCUUUGUAUAUUUUUUCAGUGUUUUAUGUGCUUAUUUCUAAUUUUGAAUUAAUUAUUUUUUGGGAUGUGUAAAAAUAUUACAUGGAUAAUUUUGGAACCUGCUUUUCUUAUUACUUAGUUUUUGAACUUGAGUUUCGGCAUCUAUAUUUCUUUUUCCAUAGUAUUCUUGCUUAUGUGUGCUCUUCCAUCAUUAGUAGCAUAAUGCAUUGCUAAUGGAAAUGCAGAAGAAAUUGGUUCGUUUCAUCACCUUAACUAGAUGCAGAGACAUUUAAUCUUGGAUUCAAGCUGUGGUGAAGUCAAUGAAUCAGUGAUCCCUUACCCUGUGGAUGAAUUUUGCUGGAAGUGCUUGUGCAAAUGUCAGGCUUACUCCUCCAUGGCCCUUUUAGUGCCCUGUUAGCUUUCAUUCGUUGCAAUUGAAUUGUUCAUACCCAGGAAGGAUACGAAGUUUUUGUUGUUGGAAAUUGAAAAUUGAGUGAAAUCACAAGAUCCUUCUUUUGUGUUGGUGUUACAAAUGAUUAACGGCCCUAGCAAAAGCAUUCAUUGACCUUCUUUCUUUGCUUGAGCUCUGUUUUUUCCAUUCUAAAGCUUCCAAGGCCAGAACAAUUAUUCAGCAUUGUUUCUGAGGGAGUGUGUCCCAUGCAACCAUGAAAAACUGAUUAUGUGUUCAAAGUGUUAUAAAAAUUUCUGAAGCUUCUGCGAAGAUGGAAGACUUUUAUGAUCUUAUGUUAAAUGUCAAGGGCUUAAAAAUUCCAGGGGAUAGUCUAGACGAUUACCUUAGUCUGGAAGAGCUUCAUGGAGAUAUUCAGUAUUUUUGCAAAUCAUGUAGAGCAUUAGUUGAUGCUGCUUGGAGUAUCAAGCUAUGGUCACUUGGUGAAAUUCUUAAAGGCAUUGUGUUUUCCUUCCAAAGCAAUUUCAGAGAGAUGAAGAGGUAUAUAAGAAGAUUUUUUUACGUGGUGGGGAGAGUGCUCCCAUGAGAAGAAAGAAAGACAGUGGUUAUCAAUUGCUACUACCAGAUCGGUAAACAAUUUUAUGAUUGCAUUAAAAAAUCUAUGAUUUUAGCAUGCAUAUUGACACACUCUAAAGUGGAUGUACCCCAUUCCUGUUAAAGUCCAAUCCCAUUCCAACUCAUUAUUAUUCAGCCCA